rnacentral:rRNA from 1 species
AUCGAUGAAGAACGCAGCGAAAUGCGAUAAGUAAUGUGAAUUGCAGAAUUCAGUGAAUCAUCGAAUCUUUGAACGCACAUUGCGCCCAUUAGUAUUCUAUUGGGCAUGCCUGUUCGAGCGUCAUUACAACCCUCAAGCUCUGCUUGGUAUUGGGCGUCACCACUCGUGGUGUGCCUUAAAAUCAGUGGCGGUGCCAUUCGGCUUCAAGCGUAGUAAUUUUUCUCGCUUCUGGAGUUCGGGUGUGUGCUUGCCAGCAACCCCCAAUUUUUUUAAGGUUGACCUCGGAUCAGGUAGGGAUACCCGCUGAACUUAAGCAUAUCAAUAAGCGGAGGAAAAGAAACCAACAGGGAUUGCCUCAGUAACGGCGAGUGAAGCGGCAACAGCUCAAAUUUGAAAUCUGGCCUCACGGUCCGAGUUGUAAUUUGUAGAGGAUGUUUCGAGUGUGGUCCGGUCUAAGUUCCUUGGAACAGGACGUCAUAGAGGGUGAGAAUCCCGUAUGCGACUGGGUGCCUAAUCUCAUGUGAAACUCCUUCGACGAGUCGAGUUGUUUGGGAAUGCAGCUCAAAAUGGGUGGUAAAUUUCAUCUAAAGCUAAAUACUGGCCAGAGACCGAUAGCGCACAAGUAGAGUGAUCGAAAGAUGAAAAGCACUUUGGAAAGAGAGUUAAACAGUACGUGAAAUUGUUGAAAGGGAAGCGCUUGCAACCAGACUUGCACGCAGUCGAUCAUCCGAUGUUUUCACCGGUGCACUCGAUUGUGUUCAGGCCAGCAUCGGUUUUGGUGGUGGGAUAAAGGCCUUGGGAAUGUAGCUUCUUUCGGGGAGUGUUAUAGCCCUCGGUGCAAUGCCGCCUACUGGGACCGAGGACCGCGCUUCGGCUAGGAUGCUGGCGUAAUGGUUGUAAGCGACCCGUCUUGAAACACGG